UACGAAGGGGGCUAGCGUUGCUCGGAAUCACUGGGCGUAAAGGGUGCGUAGGCGGGUCUUAAGUCAGGGGUGAAAUCCUGGAGCUCAACUCCAGAACUGCCUUUGAUACUGAAGAUCUUGAGUCGGGAGAGGUGAGUGGAACUGCGAGUGUAGAGGUGAAAUUGUAGAUAUUCGCAAGAACACCAGUGGCGAAGGCGGCUCACUGGCCCGGUACUGACGCUGAGGCACGAAAGCGUGGGGGAGCAAACAGG
rnacentral:rRNA from 1 species